rnacentral:rRNA from 1 species
GUUCUUCGGAUUAGAGACCGGCGCACGGGUGCGUAACGCGUAUGCAAUCUACCUUUCACAGAGGGAUAGCCCAGAGAAAUUUGGAUUAAUACCUCAUAGUAUAGUGAUACCGCAUGGUACUACUAUUAAAGUCACAACGGUGAAAGAUGAGCAUGCGUCCCAUUAGCUAGUUGGUAAGGUAACGGCUUACCAAGGCUACGAUGGGUAGGGGUCCUGAGAGGGAGAUCCCCCACACUGGUACUGAGACACGGACCAGACUCCUACGGGAGGCAGCAGUGAGGAAUAUUGGACAAUGGGCGCAAGCCUGAUCCAGCCAUGCCGCGUGCAGGAUGACGGUCCUAUGGAUUGUAAACUGCUUUUGUACGGGAAGAAACACUCCUUCGUGAAGGAGCUUGACGGUACCGUAAGAAUAAGGAUCGGCUAACUCCGUGCCAGCAGCCGCGGUAAUACGGAGGAUCCAAGCGUUAUCCGGAAUCAUUGGGUUUAAAGGGUCCGUAGGCGGUUUAGUAAGUCAGUGGUGAAAGCCCAUCGCUCAACGGUGGAACGGCCAUUGAUACUGCUAGACUUGAAUUAUUAGGAAGUAACUAGAAUAUGUAGUGUAGCGGUGAAAUGCUUAGAGAUUACAUGGAAUACCAAUUGCGAAGGCAGGUUACUACUAAUGGAUUGACGCUGAUGGACGAAAGCGUGGGUAGCGAACA